UACGUAGGGGGCGAGCGUUGUCCGGAAUCAUUGGGCGUAAAGCGCGUGUAGGCGGCCCGGUAAGUCCGCUGUGAAAGUCCCAGGGCUCAACCCUGGGAUGCCGGUGGAUACUGUCGGGCUCGAGUCCGGAAGAGGCGAGUGGAAUUCCUGGUGUAGCGGUGAAAUGCGCAGAUAUCAGGAGGAACACCAAUGGCGAAGGCAGCUCGCUGGGACGUGACUGACGCUGAGACGCGAAAGCGUGGGGAGCAAACAGG
rnacentral:rRNA from 1 species